rnacentral:rRNA from 1 species
AUUGAACGCUGGCGGCAGGCCUAACACAUGCAAGUCAAACGGUAACAGGAAGAAGCUUGCUUCUUUGCUGACGAGUGGCGGACGGGUGAGUAAUGUCUGGGAAACUGCCUGAUGGAGGGGGAUAACUACUGGAAACGGUAGCUAAUACCGCAUAACGUCGCAAGACCAAAGAGGGGGACCUUCGGGCCUCUUGCCAUCGGAUGUGCCCAGAUGGGAUUAGCUAGUAGGUGGGGUAACGGCUCACCUAGGCGACGAUCCCUAGCUGGUCUGAGAGGAUGACCAGCAAAAUGGAAAUGGGGAAAGGGUCAGAAUCCUAAGGGAAGCAGCCAGUGGGAAAAUUUGAACAAGGGGGGAAGGCCGAAGGAAGCCAGGCCGGGUGAUGAAGAAGGGCUUCGGGGUGGUAAGGAAUUUCCGGGGGGAGGAAGGGAGUAAAGUUAAUACCUUUGCUCAUUGACGUUACCCGCAGAAGAAGCACCGGCUAACUCCGUG